GAUGAACGCUGGCGGCGUGCCUAAUACAUGCAAGUCGAGCGAACGGACGAGAAGCUUGCUUCUCUGAUGUUAGCGGCGGACGGGUGAGUAACACGUGGAUAACCUACCUAUAAGACUGGGAUAAAUUCGGGAAACCGGAGCUAAUACCGGAUAAUAUUUUGAACCGCAUGGUUCAAAAGUGAAAGACGGUCUUGCUGUCACUUAUAGAUGGAUCCGCGCUGCAUUAGCUAGUUGGUAAGGUAACGGCUUACCAAGGCAACGAUGCAUAGCCGACCUGAGAGGGUGGUCGUCCACACGGGAACGGAGACACGGUCCAGACUCCUACGGGAGGCAGCAGUAGGGAAUCUUCCGCAAUGGGCGAAAGCCUGACGGAGCAACGCCGCGUGAGUGAUGAAGGUCUUCGGAUCGUAAAACUCUGUUAUUAGGGAAGAACAUAUGUGUAAGGAACUGUGCACAUCUUGACGGUACCUAAUCAGAAAGCCACGGCUAACUACGUG
rnacentral:rRNA from 1 species